GGGUCGUUAGCUCAGUUGGUAGAGCAGUUGACUUUUAAUCAAUUGUUCGCAGGUUCGAAUCCUGCACGACCCACCA
rnacentral:tRNA from 4 species